UACGUAGGGUGCGAGCGUUGUCCGGAAUUAUUGGGCGUAAAGCGCUUGUAGGCGGUUUGUCGCGUCUGCUGUGAAAAUCCGGGGCUCAACCCCGGACUUGCAGUGGGUACGGGCAGACUAGAGUGUGGUAGGGGAGACUGGAAUUCCUGGUGUAGCGGUGAAAUGCGCGGAUAUCAGGAGGAACACCGAUGGCGAAGGCAGGUCUCUGGGCCACUACUGACGCUGAGAAGCGAAAGCAUGGGGAGCGAACAGG
rnacentral:rRNA from 1 species